UACAGAGGGUGCAAGCGUUGUUCGGAAUUAUUGGGCGUAAAGCGCGUGUAGGCGGCUUUGCAAGUCGGGUGUGAAAGCCCUCGGCUCAACCGAGGAAGUGCGCCCGAAACUGCAGAGCUUGAGUACCGGAGAGGAUGGCGGAAUUCCCCAAGUAGAGGUGAAAAUUCGUAGAUAUGGGGAGGAACACCGGUGGCGAAGGCGGCCAUCUGGACGGAUACUGACGCUGAGACGCGAAAGCGUGGGUAGCAAACAGG
rnacentral:rRNA from 1 species